UUCUUGAUUUCUUUUUUGCUUAUCUAGUAAUGCAUACAUAUCAAAUACACGUAUAUUAAAAAAAAAUAAAUGGAAGUAUAUGACAUGGAUGCAGAACUGUUGCUAGAAUAUUGUAACAAUUUCUUACAUUUAUAGGAUUAUGCUUUGUUUUGUUGGAAGCCAGUGAUUUGGACAAAAGUGUGAGUCAGUUAUGAGGAGUCUGAACAGCUGGAGGCCCAGUGGCUUGUCUGCUAGCUCUUUAUGAUGAGCUGCCAUAUCAGAAACUGAAGCUCCGGGGAUGUCUUGUUAACCUUUCAUUAACAGAACUGGGGCACUGGUACCUGCCAAGUUCUCCCUCAGGCCACAGAGUGGAAGUUUGUCUCCAGGAGAUACCUCACAAGCUGGAAUUAAUGCCACAGUUGCUCAUUGUGAGUGAGAAGGGAGGAAUGUCCCUUGAAUAUUUUGUUUUCCUUGUCUUCAGAUUACACUGAUGUCAUUUUGAGGAAAGCUGGAAAUCCUGUUGGUUCUUAUGCAAAUAAUAGCUCAUUGCAUUCUUUUUGUGAGCAACAUCAC
rnacentral:lncRNA from 1 species